rnacentral:rRNA from 1 species
CCUACGGGAGGCAGCAGUGAGGAAUAUUGGUCAAUGGACGCAAGUCGGAACCAGCCAUGCCGCGUGCAGGAAGACGGCUCUAUGAGUUGUAAACUGCUUUUGUACGAGGGUAAACGCAGAUACGCGUAUCUUUCUGCAUGUAUCCUACGAAUAAGGAUCGGCUAACUCCGUGCCAGCAGCCGCGGUAAUACGGAGGAUUCAAGCGUUAUCCGGAUUUAUUGGGUUUAAAGGGUGCGUAGGCGGUCGGAUAAGUUAGCGGUGAAAUCCCGGGGCUCAACUUCGGAAUUGCCUCUGAUACUGUUAGGCUAGAGCGUAGUUGCGGUAGGCGGAAUGUAUGGUGUAGCGGUGAAAUGCUUAGAGAUCAUGCAGAACACCGAUUGCGAAGGCAGCUUACCAAGCUACAUCUGACGUUGAGGCACGAAAGCGUGGGGAGCAAACAGGAUUAGAUACCCCAGUAGUC